rnacentral:rRNA from 1 species
UAGGGAAUCUUCGGCAAUGGGGGGAACCCUGACCGAGCAACGCCGCGUGAGUGAAGAAGGUUUUCGGAUCGUAAAGCUCUGUUGUUAAGGAAGAACGAGUGUGAGAAUGGAAAGUUCAUACUGUGACGGUACUUAACCAGAAAGGGACGGCUAACUACGUGCCAGCAGCCGCGGUAAUACGUAGGUCCCGAGCGUUGUCCGGAUUUAUUGGGCGUAAAGCGAGCGCAGGCGGUUAGAUAAGUCUGAAGUUAAAGGCAGUGGCUCAACCAUUGUAGGCUUUAGAAACUGUUUAACUUGAGUGCAGAAGGGGAGAGUGGAAUUCCAUGUGUAGCGGUGAAAUGCGUAGAUAUAUGGAGGAACGCCGGUGGCGAAAGCGGCUCGCUGGUCUGUAACUGACGCUGAGGCUCGAAAGCGUGGGUAGCAAACAGG